rnacentral:rRNA from 1 species
GACGUAGGGCGCGAGCGUUGUCCGGAUUUAUUGGGCGUAAAGAGCUCGUAGGCGGCUUGUCACGUCGGGUGUGAAAGCCCGGGGCUUAACCCCGGGUCUGCAUCCGAUACGGGCAGGCUAGAGUGUGGUAGGGGAGAUCGGAAUUCCUGGUGUAGCGGUGAAAUGCGCAGAUAUCAGGAGGAACACCGGUGGCGAAGGCGGAUCUCUGGGCCAUUACUGACGCUGAGGAGCGAAAGCGUGGGGAGCGAACAGG